rnacentral:rRNA from 1 species
CGUGUAGGCGGGUUUAUAAGUUGGAUGUGAAAUGCUAUGGCCUAACCAUGGAACUGCAUUCAAAACUAUAAAUCUUGAGUGCCGGAGAGGAAAGCGGAAUUCCUAGUGUAGCGGUGAAAUGCGUAGAUAUUAGGAGGAACACCAGUGGCGAAGGCGGCUUUCUGGACGGUAACUGACGCUGAGGCGCGAAAGCGUGGGGAGCAAACA